rnacentral:rRNA from 1 species
CCUACGGGCGGCAGCAGUGGGGGAUAUUGGACAAUGGGGGAAACCCUGAUCCAGCGACGCCGCGUGAGUGAAGAAGUAUUUCGGUAUGUAAAGCUCUAUCAGCAGGGAAGAAAGAAAUGACGGUACCUGAGUAAGAAGCCCCGGCUAACUACGUGCCAGCAGCCGCGGUAAUACGUAGGGGGCAAGCGUUAGCCGGAAUUACUGGGUGUAAAGGGAGCGUAGACGGGAAUGCAAGUCUGGAGUGAAAGGCGGGGGGCCAACCCCCGGACUGCUCUGGAAACUGUGUAACUGGAGUGCAGGAGAGGCAGGCGGAAUUCGUGGUGUAGCGGUGAAAUGCGUAGAUAUUAGGAGGAACACCAGUGGCGAAGGCGGCCUGCUGGACUGUAACUGACGUUGAGGCUCGAAAGCGUGGGGAGCAAACAGGAUUAGAUACCCGUGUAGUC